GGCUCAGGAUGAACGCUGGCGGCGUGCCUAAUACAUGCAAGUCGAGCGAGAAUCAGUGAUGUAGAGAUUCGUCGAAGCGGAUCUGAGGAAAGCGGCGGACGGGUGAGUAACGCGUAGGCAACCUGCCCUUAGCAGAGGGAUAGCCAUUGGAAACGAUGAUUAAAACCUCAUAAUGCUGUUGAAACACAUGUUUCGGCAGCCAAAGAUUUAUCGGCUAGGGAUGGGCCUGCGUCUGAUUAACUAGUUGGUGAGGUAACGGCUCACCAAGGUGACGAUCAGUAGCCGACCUGAGAGGGUGAUCGGCCACAUUGGAACUGAGACACGGUCCAAACUUCUACGGAAGGCAGCAGUAAGGAAUCUUGCACAAUGGGGGAAACCCUGAUGCCAGCAACGCCGCGUGAACGAUGAAGGCCUUAGGGUUGUAAAGUUCUGAUCUGUGGGAAGAAGAAGUGACGGUACCACAGGAGAAAGCCCCGGCUAAAUACGUGCCAGCAGCCGC
rnacentral:rRNA from 1 species